rnacentral:rRNA from 1 species
GAUGAACGCUGGCGGCGUGCCUAAUACAUGCAAGUCGAGCGAACAGACGAGGAGCUUGCUCCUCUGACGUUAGCGGCGGACGGGUGAGUAACACGUGGAUAACCUACCUAUAAGACUGGGAUAACUUCGGGAAACCGGAGCUAAUACCGGAUAAUAUAUUGAACCGCAUGGUUCAAUAGUGAAAGACGGUUUUGCUGUCACUUAUAGAUGGAUCCGCGCCGCAUUAGCUAGUUGGUAAGGUAACGGCUUACCAAGGCGACGAUGCGUAGCCGACCUGAGAGGGUGAUCGGCCACACUGGAACUGAGACACGGUCCAGACUCCUACGGGAGGCAGCAGUAGGGAAUCUUCCGCAAUGGGCGAAAGCCUGACGGAGCAACGCCGCGUGAGUGAUGAAGGUCUUCGGAUCGUAAAACUCUGUUAUUAGGGAAGAACAAAUGUGUAAGUAACUAUGCACGUCUGGACGGUACCUAAUCAGAAAGCCACGGCUAACUACG